AACGAACGCUGGCGGCAGGCUUAACACAUGCCAGUCGAACGCAUCCUUCGGGGUGAGUGGCAGACGGGUGAGUAACGCGUGGGAACGUGCCCUCCAGUUCGGGAUAACCCAGGGAAACUUGGGCUAAUACCGGAUACGUGCGAGAGCAGGAAGAUUUAUCGCUGAAGGAUCGGCCCGCGUCUGAUUAGCUAGUUGGUGGGGUAAUGGCCCACCAAGGCGACGAUCAGUAGCUGGUCUGAGAGGAUGAUCAGCCACAUUGGGACUGAGACACGGCCCAAACUCCUACGGGAGGCAGCAGUGGGGAAUAUUGGACAAUGGGCGCAAGCCUGAUCCAGCCAUGCCGCGUGAGUGAUGAAGGCCUUAGGGUUGUAAAGCUCUUUCGUCCGGGACGAUAAUGACGGUACCGGAAGAAGAAGCCCCGGCUAACUUCGUGCCAGCAGCCGCUGUAA
rnacentral:rRNA from 1 species